rnacentral:sRNA from 1 species
AUCACAGAUUCGUCAGCGUUGCCGCAUUUUCGCCCUCAUCAUGCCAAGUGGCCGCCCCGUUGCUCGAUUUGAAUGGGGUUACAGCCUCGACGGCUCGGCUUCGUCGAUCGUCGGUUUGUCAGCCCCCCAGCCCCCCGGGGAUCUGGUGGUGCCGGGCCAUUACUUUCGAGGCCAACUCAGCGGCUGGCGUUCUGCGCUGGCCGUUUU